AAGGUGACCGACCUUCGGGAGCUUGCACAGGUGCUGCAUGGCUGUCGUCAGCUCGUGUCGUGAGAUGUUCGGUUAAGUCCGCUAACGAGCGCAACCCUCGCUGUGUGUUAUAUGUGUCACACGGGACUGCCGGUCUUAAGCCGGAGGAAGGUGGGGAUGAUGUCAAGUCAGCAUGGCCUUUAUAUCCUGGGCUACACACACGCUACAAUGGCCAACACAAUAGGUUGCUAAGCCGCGAGGUGGCGCCAAUCCAUAAAGUUGGUCUCAGUUCAGAUUGUAGGCUGCAACCCGCCUGCAUGAAGAUGGAGUUGCUAGUAACCGCAGGUCAGCUAUACUGCGGUGAAUACGUUCCCGGGCUU
rnacentral:rRNA from 1 species